rnacentral:rRNA from 1 species
AUACGUAGGGGGCGAGCGUUGUCCGGAAUGAUUGGGCGUAAAGGGCGCGUAGGCGGCCCGGUAAGUCUGGAGUGAAAGUCCUGCUUUCACGGAGGGAAUUGCUUUGGAUACUGCCGCGCUUGAGUGCAGGAGAGGUUAUCGGAAUUCCCGGUGUAGCGGUGAAAUGCGUAGAGAUCGGGAGGAACACCAGUGGCGAAGGCGGGUAACUGGACUGCAACUGACGCUGAGGCGCGAAAGUGUGGGGAGCAAACAGGAUUAGAUACCCUGGUAGUCCACACUGUAAACGAUGAAUGCUAGGUGUAAGAGGUAUCGACCCCUUUUGUGCCGGAGUCAACACAAUAAGCAUUCCGCCUGGGGAGUACGGCCGCAAGGUUGAAACUCAAAGGAAUUGGCGGGG